UCCCAAUUUCAUUUCUACAUUUUCAGAUAUGGCCUCGAACCGGACGUCGCCUUCUCUUCAGUGUCUCCGCCGUAACAAUGUGACGGAUUUUGCUCGGAAUGUUGUGAUAGAGAAGAAGACCGUGAUCCAGAUACGGAUUGCGGAGGUGGAGGUCGAACAGCAGGGGAGCUCGGAUCGUACGGUGGAUACCGAGCAUCGGAUUGAGAGUUUGUGUGCUGGAUUACUUGAUGGCCCUUCGAUAGCAGUUUCUACUCCAGAGGAUACGGUGGCCGGAUCAUCAUCGCUCCCGGUGUCAGUGCGGAGACACGCAAGCAACUGAACCAUCGUGCUGUUCGCCUCCGCAUCCACCUUGAUUGAUCCACACAGGAUAGGAACCAAGAGGCGGCAGGGUUGUGUUUAGCUACUGGAUUCUCUGAACUUGUCCUAGCUAUGCGUUACUGAAUUCUUGGAUUCUUAUUACUUUUCUAUAAAUCUGUAAAACCUAAAACCAAGUUGGUUUUUCUUAUGAUAGUCUAGGGUUUGGUUGUUUGGUCUCUCAUGUUCUAGUCAAUCUAUAAAGCCUUUCGUAUAUUUGAGGAUA